AGCCUCGCCGCGCCCGGCCUUUCUACGGUCGUGGCCCUCCGCGAUUGGCCAGCGUCGCGUGACGCACGGCCGAGCUCGGCGUCCAUUGGUCCGGCCUGCCCGGCGGGGCGUUUCAGGACCGUGGCUAUGGAGUCCGGCGUGGCAGCGGCAAUCCCUGGCCAAAGGUACUUGGGGUCAUUUUCCGCGGGGGGUUACGUGCGGGAGCGUGUCCUCCACAAACGGAUUUUCCCCCCUUAAGCGGACUUAUUUCCAUCCGGAGUGACAGAAUUUAAUUCCAAACCGAGAGCUUUCCAGACUGACGAAUUUUUACCGGGACUAACAGAGAAUUACCUCAGCCUGACAACAUUUUAUCUCGUGCGCCACUUCGGGAUCCGAGUGGAGCCGAAAGUCGAGAUAGAGCGCAGUUGGGCCUUGGGUUCGAAAAGACUGGACAGAGGUUUCAGUGAGCCGAGAUCGCGCCACUGCACCCCGGCCUGGGCGACAGAGCGAGACUCCGUCUCAAAAAAAGAAAAAGAAAAAAGCCUGGAAAGAAAUUCUGCGGAAUAGAAGUCUUUAAGAAAUGAGAUCGUGCCCUUUAAAACUAAGUUUAACAAUAGUGAGGGCUUAAUAAACGAUAGGUGUUAUCUCUGGGUUGGAGGGGAAUACCUUCAAUUUUAGUUUUUCGUUCCAUUUCUAAAGUUUGUACUAUGAGCGUGCAUUUUUUUAAAUUUAGUUUUAUUUUAUUUUUUAAAUAGAAACGAGGUCUCACUGUGUUGCCCAGGCUGAUCUCGAACUUCUGAGCUCAAGUGAACCUCCCGCUUCGGCCUCUAUUAUUUUUAUUUUAUUUUUUUUUCUUAUUUUUUGAGACGGAGUCAGGCUCUGUCACCAGGCUGGAGUGCAGUGGCGAGAUCUCAGCUCACUGCAACCUUCGCCUCCGGGUUCAAGCAAUUCUCCUGCCUCAGCCUCCCGAGUAGCUGGGACUACAGGCGCCCGCCACCACACCCGGCUAAUUUUUUGUAGUUUAGUAGAGGCGGGGUUUCACCGUGUUGGCCAGGAUGGUCUCCAUCUCCUGACCUCGUGAUCGCCCGCCUCGGCCUCCCAAAGUGCUGGGAUUACAGGCGUAAGCCACUGCGCCCAGCCUCUUGUUAUUUUAAAUGAGGGGACAGGAAAACGUCACAUGUAGAGACUGAGACCCCGGGGUUGACCCUGAGCCCCCUCUCCGAGGGGAGGUCGAGGUUCCUGCCUGGCCAUUGUGGCGUGAGGGUGGCCAGGUGUUUGUGAAAGAGGGGCCCCCAGAGAGCAGCACGGGAGCGAUUUAUACACACGAAUAUUAACAUGGAGAAGUCCGAGAAACCCCCGUAAAUAUGCCUGUCCACUUUUUUUAAAGCAAAUUACAAAAUGUGAAAUUCCCCAGAAAUGCACAGCAAUACCUUCUCUAACAAGUAAUUAUUGCUUCCUCCUCUGCGGGCAGCACUAUUCCAGGUUCUAGGGGUGCAAACAGUAGUAAGACUGCUACCUGGUAUUUGGAGGAUAUGCAAAAAGUGAAAUGUUAAGAUAGCAGGUUCCUAAGUAAUUCUUUAGUGUUAUUAAGUCGGAUUAGCUGGUCAAUUUUAUUUUGGUAGGGAGGGAACAGGAUGGGAAAAAGAACUAAAAGCAAGUCCAUCUCUUGAUAUCUAAGCCCUCUAAAGGGACAUAGUUUUGGUUUUUGCCAGGACUGGGCCACGAGUCUCCUAACGUGUUUUCUCCCUCUUCGUUGGGAGGGAAAUCAAUGAUUUUUUUUUUUUUAACUGGGCUGUCCCAACUCCAGAGCCUCCUGAGCACGUGCUGUCCUGUGGGUUGGAAAAGAGGUGGGGGUGAUUGGAGUCUCUGCCGGACCAAGAAACCAACUUCCUGUUUAACUCUCAUCAGCUUGGGCCACCUGGGUUCUGAUGUGCCUUCAGAUGUGGGGAGACUUACUCCGGGCCUCUGAAAUGUUUUGGGAGAAGUCUGGAGGUGUCUUCUAGCCGAGACCUAUAGCUUCAUAUUAAAAGACCUUGGAAAGCUGUAAGAGGCUGUUAGAAAAGUCAUGUCAUGUCAUGCCACCUGUUACGUUUUAUUUUUUGAUGCCUUUUUUUUCCUUUUUUUUUUUUUUGAGACUGGGUUUCGCCACGUUGCCUAGGCUGGAACUCCUAGGCUCAAGCGAUCCUCUUGCCUUGGCCUCCCAAACUGCUGGGAUUGCAGGCAGGAACCACAGAGCCCGGCCCUUUUUAUUUAUUAAGUGAACAUUUAUUAAUGCCAAGAGAAUGUCUUUCACUGUGUAAGAAAGAAAAUGCUGGAGGACCCUUUUAGUCCAGCAGGGUGUAGUGAGUAACUGAGUAGAGAAAGCACAGGGUGCGGGAUGGGGAAAAAAGGUUGAUGAAUUGCACUUUGAUCUUAGUUAAUGCGAUAUUGAAAUUCACUUCCCCAGCUUGUUUUCAAAACUUUUAUAUUUUUGACAAACACUUUAAAUCAUACUAAAAACAAUAAUUUGACCCACUACAGAUUGCUGUCCAUGCAGUCUUGAACAUGUGAGUCCAAACCCUUGGACAGUUUCAUAUCCUCUCUAUAAAAUGAACCUGGUAAUUCUUGCAUCAGGUGCCAUAAGUGUUUAAAAAUAUUUACUAGACACCUGUGAUAAGAGCUAUAAAAUAUAUAAAUUACAAAGUUCUCGGUCUUUGAGGCCAAACGCGGUGGCUCACCCCUGUAAUCCCAGCACUUUGGGAGGCCGAGGUGGGCAGAUCACCUGAGAUCAGGAGUUCGAGACCAGCCUGGCCAACAUGGUGAAACCCAGUCUCUACUAAAAAUACAAAAAUUAGCCGGACAUGGUGGGGGGCGCCUGUAAUCUCAGCUACUGGGGAGGCUGAGGCAGGAUAAUGUCUUGAACCUGGGAGGCAGAGGUUGCAAUUAGCCAAGAUUGUGCCAUUGCACUCCAGCCUGGUCAACAGAGUGAGACUUUCUCAAAAAAAAAAAAAAAAAAAAAAAAAGUCAUUAUUCAGAAAGAAUCAGUCAGGAAAGGGUGGACAAAACAGGAACAGAAAUAAAUAGGCAUUCCAGAAAAGGGAAAACAGAAAAAUACUGUACACUGGUAAGCAGAAAACAGAAAAUAACAUGGCAGGAAUAAGUCCAAAUAUAUAAAUAAUAAAACAUAAAUGUGAAUGGGUUAUAUUAUCUUCUUAAUCAUGCUGUUUUGUUUUAUGUAUGUCUCUUUAUAAACAACAUAUAGCUGGCUUUGGGGUUUCUCAGAGCUCUCUUUUAAGAAGAGAAUAUAAAUCAUUUGUAUUUAUUUUUGAUUAUUUAUUUAUUUGGACUUAUUUCUGCCAUGUUAUUUCACAUUUUUUGUUUACUAUAUUUCUCAAGGCAGGAGGAUUGCUUGAGGCCAGGAGUUCAAGACCAGGCUGGGAAACAUAUUGUGACCUUGUCUCUACAAAAAAUUUAAAAAAAUUAACCAGGCGUGGUGACUUGCACCUGUAGUCCCAGCUGCUCGGAAGACGGAGGUGGUAAGAUCCCUUGAACCCAGGAGUUCGAGGCUGCAGUAAACUAUGAGCUAUGAUUGAACCAUUGUACUCCAACCUGGGAGACAGAAUGAGCUCCUGCCUCUAAAAAACAAAAAUUUUUUUAAAAAAAAGGAAAAUGACUUACCAGCCAUUUUUAUGUUUAUGGAAAUGUUUAUGGAAAGAAAGCAUAUGUAGCAAUAUUAAUAUGAGACAGAAUUUAUCAUAAAGGCAUUAAAAGGACAAAGAAGGGUAUUUCAUGUUGAUUGAAGGUACAAGUUACCAUAUAUACAUCUUUAUGAACAUAGCAACAUAAUUUUGAAAUGUAUAGGCCUAGCAUGUCGGCUCACACCUGUAAUCUCAGCACUUUGGGAGGCUGAGGUCAGGGGUUCAAGACCAGCCUGGUCAACAUGGCGAAACCCCGUCUCUAUUAAAAAUACAAAAAUUAACUGGGCAUGGUGGCACGUG
rnacentral:lncRNA from 1 species